CUAGUGCGUCCUGGAGACCUUCGAAGUCGCCGUCGCUCUCACCAUGACUGGGUCCAGACUGCGCCAAGCCUCUGGGGGACGUGGGUCCUCGGAACCUUUUUAGUGCCGGACUCCGGGCCACAGGCGCGGCAGCACGAUAACAGAACCUCUGGAUGGACUCUUCCUGGGAAGCUUUGCUAAUUUGCAGCAGCUGGACCAUGUUCCUCAUUAACAUCUGUCUGUCAGCUUAGUCAUCACAUCAUUUCACCAUGGUAGCAGGGACUCAGCUCGGAAUUCUAUAUAGAAAAACACCUAGAUCCCAGACUUUCAAUGGCUUCAAGACAACUAGAAGUGCCUGCUCUUGAGGCUAGUGGGCCUCUAGGCAAGAUGUCCCUGGCCUUCGGGAUAUACCCCUGGCACUCAGCUUUGAUAAUACUCUCAAGGACCCUGCGCCCAUUACUCCUCCUCCAUCAGACAUGGGCAGCGUCCCUUGGAAACCAGUAAUUCCAGAGCGCAAGUAUCAGCUCCUCGCCAAGGUGGAGGAAGGAGAGGCCAGUCUACCCUCCCUGCCAUGACCCUGUCAUCGGCCAUUGACAGUGUGGACAAGGUCCCAGUGGUGAAGGCUAAAACUACUCAUGUCAUCAUGAGUUCUCUGAUCACAAAACAGACCCAGGAAAGCAUUCAGCAUUUUGGGCAGCAGGCAGGACUGAGAGAUGCUGGCUACCCACUCCACGAGGGCCUCACCACUGAAGAGACCAGGUACCUUAGAGUGGCAUAAGCACUCCACAAACUAAAGCUACAGAGUGGAGAGAUAACAAAAGAAGAGAGGCAGCCUGCAUCAGCCCAGUCCACCCCAAGCACCACUCCUCACUCUUCACCUAAGCAGAGACCCAGGGGCUGGUUCACUUCUGGUUCUUCCACAGCCUUACCUGGCCCAAAUCCUAGCAACAUGGACUCUGGAAGUGAGGAUAAGGACAGCAACUUGUCCGAUAAGUGGAGCCUCUUUGGACUGAGAUCACUUCAGAAGUAUGAUUCUGGAAGUUUUGCCACCCAGGCCGACUGAGGAGCCCAGAAACCCUCUCCAAUGGAACUGAUCCGUGCCCAGGCCAACCAAAUGGCUGAAGAUCCAGCAGCCUUGAAGCCGCCCAAGAUGGACAUCCCAAUGAUGAAAGGGAAGAAACAGCCACCACGGGCCCAUAAUCUCCAACCCUGUGACUUGAAUGUGCUCACACUCACUGGCUUCUAG